rnacentral:rRNA from 1 species
AACAAGGUCUCCGUUGGUGAACCAGCGGAGGGAUCAUUGCUGGAACGCGCUUCGGCGCACCCAGAAACCCUUUGUGAACUUAUACCUACUGUUGCCUCGGCGUCAGGCCGGCCUCCUCACCGAGGCCCCCCGGAGACGGGGAGCAGCCCGCCGGCGGCCAACUAAACUCUUGUUUCUACAGUGAAUCUCUGAGUAAUAAACAUAAAUGAAUCAAAACUUUCAACAACGGAUCUCUUGGUUCUGGCAUCGAUGAAGAACGCAGCGAAAUGCGAUAAGUAAUGUGAAUUGCAGAAUUCAGUGAAUCAUCGAAUCUUUGAACGCACAUUGCGCCCCCUGGUAUUCCGGGGGGCAUGCCUGUUCGAGCGUCAUUUCAACCCUCAAGCCUGGCUUGGUGAUGGGGUACUACUUCCUCAUGGGAGUAGGCCCUGAAAUUCAGUGGCGAGCUCGCCAGGACCCCGAGCGUAGUAGUUAUAUCUCGCUUUGGAAGGCCCUGGCGGUGCCCUGCCGUUAAACCCCCAACUUCUGAAAAUUUGACCUCGGAUCAGGUAGGAAU